CCUACGGGGGGCAGCAGUGGGGAAUAUUGCGCAAUGGGCGAAAGCCUGACGCAGCGACGCCGCGUGAGGGAUGAAGGUCUUCGGAUCGUAAACCUCUGUCAGCAGGGAAGAACGGUCACUGUGCUAAUCAGCCGUGAAUUGACGGUACCUUCAAAGUAAGCACCGGCUAACUCCGUGCCAGCAGCCGCGGUAAUACGGAGGGUGCGAGCGUUAAUCGGAAUUACUGGGCGUAAAGCGCUCGUAGGCGGUAUGUCAAGUCAAGGGUGAAAUCCCCGCGCUAAACGUGGGAACUGCCUUUGAAACUGGCAAACUGGAGUGUGUGAGAGGAUAGUGGAAUUCCAGGUGUAGGAGUGAAAUCCGUAGAUAUCUGGAGGAACAUCAGUGGCGAAGGCGACUAUCUGGCACAUAACUGACGCUGAGGAGCGAAAGCGUGGGUAGCAAACAGGAUUAGAUACCCCUGUAGUC
rnacentral:rRNA from 1 species